rnacentral:tRNA from 1 species
AUUUAUAUAAUAUAUAAAAGUAUAUUUGACUUCCAAUCAAAAAGUUUAAAUUAUUUUAAUAUAAAUA